rnacentral:lncRNA from 1 species
GAUCUUUACUCACCACAGCUUCUUUUCUAAUGCCCCUCCCGCUGCACCCUAAACUCUCUUUGUAACCCCUCUGCUCCCAACCUCCGAGUUUGGUCAGAGGCAAAGACCAGCUCUCUCGCCGAUAUAUAUGAAUGGAGUUUCAUUGUUUUUGUGCUACCCCAGACCCUGCCCAGCGCAGCGCAGCGCAUGCUAUUCAGAAGGUGGUGAGUAACAACCCAGCAAGUGCCUGUGAAGGGUUCCAGCCUGCUGCAUCGCUCCUUUGCAACUGGGCACAUACAGCAGCACAGAGCUGAGCUUGAUAGCUCUAUAAAGGGAAAGCUUAUCAAUGCAAUUAAGAUAGAGUUGAUCAGACUCAGUUAAUGGUUCAUUCUCAUCGGGUCUGCGAAGCCAAAAACCAGGAUGGGCUGAGAGGCAAAAUCCUUGCGGGCAUUAAAAAUGAAUUAAGAGACGCGUCGCCUCGUUAGCCCAUGCUGAGGGUGGCGGUCUAACACAUCCUGUUGUGGAGCGGCUGGUCUCCAUUGCCUGGUGGAAUAGUCACACGUUUAUACCUUCCGCAGCAGGCUAUGCCAUAGUUCUGAAUGGAGUGGCUGGUGGUAAGGUGUCUCUCCACCUGCACGGAAGCAGUGCUGAGUAGAGCUGGUCAGGACUUUUUCAAUUCAGAGCAUGGAUAUGAAUCUGAAUCUCUUACAUCCCAGGUGAGUGCCCUAAUCACUGGGCUAUUAACUAUUGUGGGGUGGGGUGCGGCUCUCUUCUGUUUUUUUGUGAAACAUUUUGAAAGAUUCCCAAUGUGGCAAGGGAAAGUUUUUCAAUAGAGUACAGCCUCUGUUUUACAAACUAAUUGGGGACUGAGGA